rnacentral:rRNA from 1 species
UACAGAGGGUGCAAGCGUUAAUCGGAAUUACUGGGCGUAAAGCGUGCGUAGACGGUCAUGUAAGUCGGGUGUGAAAGCCCCGGGCUCAACCUGGGAAUUGCAUUGGAAACUAGCGAGCUUGAGUGUGGCAGAGGGGGGUGGAAUUCCACGUGUAGCAGUGAAAUGCGUAGAGAUGUGGAGGAACACCGAUGGCGAAGGCAGCCCCCUGGGCUAACACUGACGCUCAGGCACGAAAGCGUGGGGAGCAAACAGG